AGCAAACGCUGGCGGCGUGCCUCAUACAUGCACGUCGAACGAGGAAGUACCUUCGGGUAUUGUACUAGUGGCGCACGGGAGAGGAACACGUGGGUAAUCUACCUUAAGGAGAGGAACAACCAGUCGAAAGAUUGGCUAAUACCUCAUAUGACCACAGUGACUUCUGUAACAGCGGUAAAAGAUUUAUCGCCUUAAGAUGAGCCUGCGUCCCAUUAGCUAGUUGGUGAGGUAAUGGCUCACCAAGGCGACGAUGGGUAGCUGGUCUGAGAGGAUGAUCAGCCUCACUGGAACUGAGACACGGUCCAGACUCCUACGGGAGGCAGCAGUAGGGAAUAUUGCACAAUGGGCGCAAGCCUGAUGCAGCGACGCCGCGUGAGUGAUGAAGGUCUUCGGAUUGUAAAGCUCUGUUGUUAGGGAAUAAGAAAGUGAAUGUACCUGACGAGAAAGCACCGGCUAACUUCGUGCCAGCAGCCGCGGUAA
rnacentral:rRNA from 1 species